GUUUUUAUAGUUGAAUACAACGUUGAUUUUUCAGGUCAGUAGUCCUGGUUAGAGUCCAGGUAAAAAUA
rnacentral:tRNA from 1 species